rnacentral:rRNA from 1 species
AGAGAUGUGUGAUGACGCAUAUCAAUAAGCGGAGGAAAAGAAACUAACAAGGAUUCCCUUAGUAACGGCGAGUGAAGCGGGAAGAGCUCAAAUUUGAAAUCUUCAAGGUUCUACCUUGACGAAUUGUAGUUUAUAAGAAGUGUUUUCUGUUAGUAGGAGUGGCAAAAGUUCUUUGGAAUAGGACAUCAUAGAGGGGUGAGAAUCCCGUAUUUGGUCAUUCUUUCUAGCUUUGUGAUACACUUUCAACGAGUCGGAUUGUUUGGGAAUGCAGUCCAAAAUGGGUGGUAAAUUUCAUCUAAAGCUAAAUAUUGGCGGGAGACCGAUAGCGAACAAGUACCGUGGGGGAAAGAUGAAAAGAACUUUGAAAAGAGAGUUAAAACAGUACGUGAAAUUGUCAAAAGGGAAGCGUUUGACACCAGUGUUGUUUUUUCCGAAAAUCAAUUACGAAUGUUUUAUUUUUGAGAAGUUAUGACUUCAUCGGCUUGCUUCUCUCUUUAUGAAACUUUCUUAAUGCACUUUUCGGUUAACAAGUCAACAUCAAUUUCUUUUGUUGUAAAAGGGUAUGAGGAAGGUGGCUUUCUUUUCGGAGAAAGUGUUUAUAGCCUUGUACCUCUGCAAUCGGAGAGAUUGAGGUCUGCAGCGUAGAUCCUUCGGGGUUAGAUACAUUUGUGCUAAGUUAUAGCUUUUCAUAGACAACUUGUUGACUAUGUUUAGUCUUGUAGCUUACUCGCUUAUGCUAUUUUACCUACGCUUAGGAUGUUGAAGAUGUAGCACAUCAU